rnacentral:tRNA from 1 species
GGGGUUCUAGCUCAUCGGUAGAGCGCUCGCUUAGCACUCAGUCUUAGGUUGUAGUGUGCGAGAGGUACAGGAUUCGACUCCCUGGUACUCCA